AACGAACGUUAGCGGCGCGCUUAACACAUGCAAGUCGAGCGAGAAAGGGAGGCUCUGCUUUUUCGGAGCAGACUUUCCCGGUACAGCGGCGCACGGGUGAGUAACACGUAGGUAAUCUGCCUCCGAGUGGGGGAUAACCUUCCGAAAGGAGGGCUAAUACCGCAUAAGACCACGCCUUCGAGAGGGGGAGGAGGUCAAAGACCGGCCACUAUAUAUAAGCUGGCGC
rnacentral:rRNA from 1 species